rnacentral:rRNA from 1 species
AUGACCCACAACCUACGAAAAACACACCCAAUCAUUAAAAUUAUUAAUCAAUCAUUUAUUGACCUCCCAGCCCCCUCAAACAUCUCAGCCUGAUGAAACUUUGGGUCCCUUUUAGGAAUUUGUCUCAUUAUACAGGUAUUUACCGGACUAUUCUUAGCAAUACAUUACACAGCAGACAUCUCACUAGCAUUUUCAUCAAUCGCCCAUAUUUGCCGAGACGUUCAAUAUGGGUGGUUAAUACGAAACCUCCACGCUAACGGAGCUUCAAUAUUCUUUAUUUGUAUUUACCUACACAUUGGCCGAGGCCUAUACUACGGCUCUUAUAUAUACAAAGAGACAUGAAACAUCGGAGUUGUUCUGCUACUGUUAGUUAUAGCUACUGCAUUCGUAGGAUACGUC